GGGAAUUAUUCUUAAACAGUUAAACUUUGUAUCAUUACUUAUUUAUUCUUUGAAUUUGAUCAACCGCAUUAGACUUAUCACCAGGGUUAUAUUAAUAUGUCACAGAUUAAACAGGAUCUUCUUACCCUUCCGGAGCACAUAAGAGCACCCGGUUUCUGUUUCUUACGUUUUGUAUACUGUUGCUAUCUUUGUUUUUUUCUUGAUUUGCGAUUAUGUUGUCCGUUUAUUUAUUAACUUAUGAGUUUGAAUGACCCUUUUGGUAUUUUUCGCCUCUCUUUUUUUGAGCUAUUAAAUCACAAAACUGAAUUUCUGAUAAAAAAAAAUUCAAUUGGAAAAUGGGGUCUAAAUCAGAU
rnacentral:lncRNA from 1 species